GGAGGUUACUGCUAUCGGUGUUCGCCUACCCCAUGCGAGUCAUAUGUUCUUCGUGAACAUGGCGUACUGCUCAGUAACACGUGGAUAACCUGCCCUUGGGACCGGCAUAACCCCGGGAAACUGGGGAUAAUUCCGGAUACCGCAUAUAUGCUGGAAUGCUUUAUGCGUGAAAUGGAUUCGUCUGCCCAAGGAUGGGUCUGCGGCCUAUCAGGUAGUAGUGGGUGUAAUGUACCUACUACCCUACGACGGGUACGGGUUGUGAGAGCAAGAGCCCGGAAAUGGAUUCUGAGACAUGAAUCCAGGCCCUACGGGGCGCACCAC
rnacentral:rRNA from 1 species